UAAAAAAACUGGACAGUUAGGAAAACUGUUCAGUUUUAAAUACUGCAUUAUAAUUAACAUUAUAAGUUUACAGAUUGGUAAUCCAGGCAUGUUUCAUUGUGGAAAAGUAAAGGUUUCUCAGGAUUUUUGAAAAUUUAUUCUAUUGAGCUUUCGACUUGGUUCUUAUGAAGGCUCGAAGAACGCUCAAUAAAAUAAAUUUUCAAAAGUCCGGAGAAACCUUUACUUUUCUACAAUUAACAUUAUAUGUUUAUAGUCGUUCGUUACCAAAAUAUAUGAUGUGGAUUUGCCAGUGCCAAAGCUUUCCUAGUUUUGUAUGAAGGAAAGCUUGAACAAAGGGAAGGUAUAAGGAAGUUAUCAUGUGACAUGAUUAAUGCACAGAUAAAAUGAAAAAUCUCAUGAGAAUUGUGUGAUAUUCGCUGGUGUUGGUAAUUUUAAAAGUUUUGACAUCAGAAAGGUGUUACCAAGUGUCAUUUGAAUGCAAUAGUUUCAGUCUCCUCAAUCAUUUAUUUAUCGCAACAUUAUUGUCCACUAAAAAUGGUGACUGUAUGUCAUAUGAUGUUUUUCAUGUAUAUUUCGGGAUAUAUUUCAGGAAAAGAAUUGGAGAAGUGUUUUAGGAUGCUCUGUUUGUGAUUAUAUCUUUAAAGCUCAAGGAAAGGUCAGUUUUCUUGAAGACAUUCCUGUCAUUGCAACAUGAUUUGGUUAUUUCAACUGUAUAUUUUGUCAUAUUUCGUCAUUGUUUAUGUUGUUGAAAAUGAAGACAAUUUUCAAGGAAAAAGCCUCAACAUGGUGAACAUAAACAUCAAAAAACUGACUUAUGAAAUAUCUCG